rnacentral:rRNA from 1 species
UACGGAAGGCAGCGGUGGGGAAUAUUGCACAAUGGGCGCAAGCCUGAUGCAGCCAUGCCGCGUGUAUGAAGAAGGCCUUCGGGUUGUAAAGUACUUUCAGUCGUGAGGAAGGUGUUAAGGUUAAUAACCUUAGCAAUUGACGUUAGCGACAGAAGAAGCACCGGCUAACUCCGUGCCAGCAGCCGCGGUAAUACGGAGGGUGCGAGCGUUAAUCGGAAUUACUGGGCGUAAAGGGCACGCAGGCGGUUAAUUAAGUUGGAUGUGAAAAUCCCCGGGCUUAAACCUGGGAAUGGCAUUCAAGACUGGUUAGCUAGAGUCUUGUAGAGGGGGUAGAAUUCCAUGUGUAGCGGUGAAAAUGCGUAGAGAUGUGGAGGAAUACCGGUGGCGAAAGGCGGCCCCUGGACAAAAGACUGACGCUCAUGUGCGAAAAGCGUGGGGAGCAAAACAGGGAUUAGAUACC